CAGCAGCCGCGGUAUUCGGAGGGUGCAAGCGUUAAUCGGAAUUACUGGGCGUAAAGCGCACGCAGGCGGUUUGUUAAGUCAGAUGUGAAAUCCCCGGGCUCAACCUGGGAACUGCAUCUGAUACUGGCAAGCUUGAGUCUCGUAGAGGGGGGUAGAAUUCCAGGUGUAGCGGUGAAAUGCGUAGAGAUCUGGAGGAAUACCGGUGGCGAAGGCGGCCCCCUGGACGAAGACUGACGCUCAGGUGCGAAAGCGUGGGGAGCAAACAGGAUUAGAUACCCUGGUAGUCCACGCCGUAAACGAUGUCGACUUGGAGGUUGUGCCCUUGAGGCGUGGCUUCCGGAGCUAACGCGUUAAGUCGACCGCCUGGGGAGUACGGCCGCAAGGUUAAAACUCAAAUGAAUUGACGG
rnacentral:rRNA from 1 species